rnacentral:misc_RNA from 1 species
GAUGAAGAACGUAGCGAAAUGCGAUACUUGGUGUGAAUUGCAGAAUCCCGUGAACCAUCGAGUCUUUGAACGCAAGUUGCGCCUCAAGCCAUUAGGUUGAGGGCACGUCUGCCUGGGCGUCACAUAUCGUUGCCUGAUGCCAGUUUCCUCGUGAUGGGUGACUGUGCAGGGCGAAUGAUGGCUUCCCGUGAGCAUUGUUGCCUCAUGGUUGGUUGAAAAUUGAGUCCUUGGUAGGGAGCGCCGUGAUAGAUGGUGGUUGAGCGACGAACGAGACCCAAUCAUGUGAGACCCCUACCGAAAUUGGCCUUCAUGACCCACAUGCGUCUUUGGAACGCUCAUGACGAGACCUCAGGUCAGGCGGGGCUACCCGCUGAGUUUAAGCAUAUCAAUAAGCGGAGGA